rnacentral:snRNA from 1 species
GGAUGUGAGGGUGAUCUAGCUGAGACACCUGUCACCCCGUUGAUCACCAGGCUUGAUGUGGCUGAUCUGGCUGGCUAGGCGGGUGUCCCCUUCCUUCCUCACCACUUCAUGCGCACCCCUCCAGAAGCCGCGCUCUGUGGAAGAGGACGACCUUGCCUGAACAGAGGAGGUCACGGGUAGACGAGCAGCUGCACUCCCCGCGAGCACUGCACACAAGCUCUCAAGUAGUUUUCUCCUGUAACUUCUACCUUUUUCACGCAUCAUAACUGAAAGAUAGU